UCCUCACUUGUCCACUUCUGCCUGCCCUGCCCAAAUUGUGGAGCAGAUUCGAGGGGCAGGGCAGGCAGAAGUGGAAAAGUGAAGC
rnacentral:pre_miRNA from 1 species